AAUGAACGUUGGCGGCGUGGAUUAGGCAUGCAAGUCGAGCGAGAACCCCGCAAGGGGGGACAGCGGCGAAAGGGACAGUAAUGUGUAGAUUAUCUGCCCUCAGGUCCGGGAUAGCUGCGGGAAACUGCAGGUAAUACCGGAUAACAUCUCCGGAUCAAAGGUGUGAUUCCGCCUGAGGAUGAGUCUGCAUCCUAUUAGCUAGUUGGUGGGGUAAUGGCCUACCAAGGCAUUGAUGGGUAGCAGGUGUGAGAGCACGACCUGCGUCAUUGGGACUGAGACACUGCCCAGACACCUACGGGUGGCUGCAGUCGAGGAUCUGCAGCAAUGGGCGCAAGCCUGACCGGGCGACGACGCGUGUGGGAUGAAGGCCUUCGGGUUGUAAACCACUGUCAGAGGGGAUGAAAUGCAGGUGGGUACUCCCAUCUGUUUGACAUAGCCUCAGAGGAAGGACGGGCUAAGUUCGUG
rnacentral:rRNA from 1 species